AAACUUUGCAAUAAGCGCAAGCUUGACAGGGCUAUCCCGAGUGCCAUCCGCUGAGGAAGGCUUUUACCCAGUCUAGAACGCUGGGGGAAUAAGGAGAGGGCAAGUCUGGUGUCAGCCGCCGCGGUAAUACCAGCUCUCCGAGUGGUGUGGAUGUUUAUUGGGCCUAAAGCAUCCGUAGCUGGCUAGGUCAGUCCCUUGUUAAAUCCACCGAAUUAAUCGUUGGAUUGCGGGGGAUACUGCUUGGCUAGGGGACGAGAGAGGCAGACGGUAUUUUCGGGGUAGGGGUGAAAUCCUAUAAUCCCGGGAAGACCACCAGUGGCGAAGGCUGUCUGCUAGAACGCGCCCGACGGUGAGGGAUGAAAGCUGGGGGAGCGAACCGGAUUAGAUACCCGGGUAGUCCCAGCUGUAAACGAUGCAGACUAGGUGUUUGGACGGCCACGUGCCGUUCUAGUACCGCAGGGAAGCUGUUAAGUCUGCCGCCUGGGGAGUACGAUCGCAAGAUUGAAACUUAA
rnacentral:rRNA from 1 species